UACGGAGGGUGCAAGCGUUAUUCGGAAUCACUGGGCGUAAAGGGUGCGUAGGCGGGCAGGUAAGUCAGUGGUGAAAUCUCCAAGCUUAACUUGGAAACUGCCGUUGAUACUAUCUGUCUUGAAUACCGUGGAGGUGAGCGGAAUAUGUCAUGUAGCGGUGAAAUGCUUAGAUAUGACAUAGAACACCAAUUGCGAAGGCAGCUCGCUACACGAAUAUUGACUCUGAGGCACGAAAGCGUGGGGAUCAAACAGG
rnacentral:rRNA from 1 species